rnacentral:misc_RNA from 1 species
CCUUUCACUAGUGCCACAGUCAGUUGCUUGAGCAUAGAUAAUUUUUUAUCCUUUUUUGCAUCUACAAAAAUGAUAUCAGCCUUGGAACCCUCACCACCCAAUGCAUGAAGCUCAUCUAAAGUUGGAAUACUAUCAAAGAGCUCCUUUAGCCUUUUAUCCGGCAUGACUGAGUAAAAACCAUUUGGAAUUCGUUCAAAAAGCAUCCCAGUGCUCCAAAGAAUUUGUGAUGCAGUCUGUGAA